GACGAACGCUGGCGGCGCGCCUAACACAUGCAAGUCGAACGGAGAUUACAGGCGGAAGUUUUCGGAUGGAAGCUUGUAAACUUAGUGGCGGACGGGUGAGUAACACGUGAGCAACCUGCCUAUCAGAGGGGGAUAACGAUUGGAAACGAUCGCUAAUACCGCAUGACAUAGCGGAAUCGCAUGGUUCUGUUAUCAAAGAUUUUAUCGCUGAUAGAUGGGCUCGCGUCCGAUUAGAUAGUUGGUGGGGUAACGGCCUACCAAGUCGACGAUCGGUAGCCGGACUGAGAGGUCGAACGGCCACAUUGGGACUGAGACACGGCCCAGACUCCUACGGGAGGCAGCAGUGGGGGAUAUUGCACAAUGGGGGAAACCCUGAUGCAGCGACGCCGCGUGAGGGAAGACGGUCCUCUGGAUUGUAAACCUCUGUCUUCGGGGACGAAACGAGACGGUACCCGAGGAGGAAGCCACGGCUAACUACGUGCCAGCAGCCGCGGUAAUACGUAGGUGGCAAGCGUUGUCCGGAAUUACUGGGUGUAAAGGGAGCGUAGGCGGGCAGGCAAGUCAGGCGUGAAAUAUAUCGGCUCAACCGGUAACGGCGCUUGAAACUGCAGGUCUUGAGUGAAGUAGAGGUUGGCGGAAUUCCUAGUGUAGCGGUGAAAUGCGUAGAUAUUAGGAGGAACACCAGUGGCGAAGGCGGCCAACUGGGCUUUUACUGACGCUGAGGCUCGAAAGUGUGGGGAGCAAACAGGAUUAGAUACCCUGGUAGUCCACACCGUAAACGAUGAUUACUAGGUGUUGGAGGAUUGACCCCUUCAGUGCCGCAGUUAACACAAUAAGUAAUCCACCUGGGGAGUACGACCGCAAGGUUGAAACUCAAAGGAAUUGACGGGGGCCCGCACAAGCAGUGGAGUAUGUGGUUUAAUUCGACGCAACGCGAAGAACCUUACCAAGUCUUGACAUCCUGCGACGAUGCUGGAAACAGUAUUUUCCUUCGGGACGCAGAGACAGGUGGUGCAUGGUUGUCGUCAGCUCGUGUCGUGAGAUGUUGGGUUAAGUCCCGCAACGAGCGCAACCCUUACUGUCAGUUACUACGCAAGAGGACUCUGGCAGGACUGCCGUUGACAAAACGGAGGAAGGUGGGGAGGACGUCAAAUCAUCAUGCCCUUUAUGACUUGGGCUACACACGUACUACAAUGGCGUUAAACAAAGAGAAGCAAGACCGCGAGGUGGAGCAAAACUCAGAAACAACGUCCCAGUUCGGACUGCAGGCUGCAACUCGCCUGCACGAAGUCGGAAUUGCUAGUAAUCGUGGAUCAGCAUGCCACGGUGAAUAAGUUCCCGGGCCUUGCACA
rnacentral:rRNA from 1 species